rnacentral:rRNA from 1 species
AACGAACGCCGGCGGCAUGCCUAACACAUGCAAGUCGAACGAGAUCUUCGGGUCUAGUGGCGCACGGGUGCGUAACGCGUGGGAAUCUGCCCUUUGGUUCGGAAUAACAGUUGGAAACGACUGCUAAUACCGGAUGAUGACGAAAGUCCAAAGAUUUAUCGCCAGAGGAUGAGCCCGCGUAGGAUUAGCUAGUUGGUGUGGUAAAGGCGCACCAAGGCGACGAUCCUUAGCUGGUCUGAGAGGAUGAUCAGCCACACUGGGACUGAGACACGGCCCAGACUCCUACGGGAGGCAGCAGAGGGGAAUAUUGGACAAUGGGCGAAAGCCUGAUCCAGCAAUGCCGCGUGAGUGAUGAAGGCCUUAGGGUUGUAAAGCUCUUUUACCCGGGAUGAUAAUGACAGUACCGGGAGAAUAAGCUCCGGCUAACUCCGUGCCAGCAGCCGCCGUAA